AUUGAACGCUGGCGGCGUGCUUAACACAUGCAAGUCGUGCGAGAAAGGAGGCUUCGGCCUCUGAGUAGAGCGGCGCACGGGUGAGUAACGCGUGGAUGAUCUACCCUUGAGUUCGGGAUAACGGUGGGAAACCGCCGCUAAUACCGUAUGACAAUCCUUUUCAACGAGGGUUCAAAGAUGGCCUCUGCUUGCAAGCUAUCGCUUGAGGAUGAGUCCGCGUCCCAUUAGCUAGUUGGCGGGGUAAUGGCCCACCAAGGCUACGAUGGGUAGCUGGUCUGAGAGGAUGAUCAGCCACACUGGAACUGAAACACGGUCCAGACUCCUACGGGAGGCAGCAGUGGGGAAUAUUGCGCAAUGGGGGAAACCCUGACGCAGCGACGCCGCGUGAGGGAGAAGGCCU
rnacentral:rRNA from 1 species